UCGCAACGUUUCGAUUCACUCAUGACCGAAGAUUGGGCGCUGUUUCGCGGCGACAAGAUGGUGCCGCGAGCGCGUGUGACCGCCAGACGCGGGCUCACCGCCCGAGCGAUGCUGACGUUCGUGCUGCCGAAGGACUGGUCGAUUGCCACGCCGUAUGCACCGCCGGCGACGAGCACGAUGGCGAUCGACGAUCCGGAACGCCGUUUCGAUCGGCCCGAGGGUUGGAUGCUGGCCGGCAAGAUAGGCGUGCGCGCGGAAAAGAUCGGGCACGUGCAGGCGACGAUUGCCGCGCCUGUCGGAGAAAGCGCGCGCAGACAAGACACGCUGUCAUUUCUCAACUGGAAUCUGCCGCAUGUCCUCGAGGUGUUCAGCGACUUUCCGCCGCGGCUGUUGAUCGUCUCGGCCGGAGAC
rnacentral:misc_RNA from 1 species